GCCGAUGUGGCGGAAUUGGCAGACGCGCUAGACUCAAAAUCUGGUGUCUUCACAGACGUGGGGGUUCGAGCCCCUCCAUCGGCACCA
rnacentral:tRNA from 1 species